UUUAAGAGUUUAUACUUUGUUUUUCAUUGUUCGUGUAAUGCUAGCACAUGCUAACCACUGUUAGCUGCAGGAGCCUCAGUGAUGCUAACGUAGUUAUUGUUUGUUAAAUGUUUGUUAAAUGUUAAAAGAUGAACAUGAAACUUAUAAGGUGAAGUUAAUUUAUUAACCAGCUGGUGCAGAUGUCUCCAUAUUCUCCCCUGCUGAUAUUUUUAUAGAGAUUCACACAAAGUUUAUUAUAAGUUUAUACCGAGAAUCACCAAGCUUCGUGCCGGAGGGGGGGGUAACUCCGUUACUGUUGUGGGUUUUGUGUCGGGGGUAAUUGGCUUUACGUUGGUCUGUAUUUAGUUAAAGUGCUCAGUCAGUAAUGUGUUUGUGUCGCUGUUAGAAAGAGCAGAAAACCUGUGAACAAACUGUAGCUGCUCAUCAGCUGCUAGCGCGCUGAGCUGCAUAGAACCGGUAAGAUAUGGAAUUAGAUUUGUGCCAAAAGAAACAAACAAAAAUAGGAAUUUGAGAGAACAUAAAACUAAUUUAAAAAAUAAAACUUAUAACUUGCAAUCAAAUAAUUUGUCAAAUAGUGUAAAAUAUUGACGUUAUUUUGUUUACGGUUCCCUCUGCUUCUCUCUCUAAGCUCAGACUUUUGCGCUGACUCUCGACUUUGCGGUCUCUCUGAUGCUCUCUCGUUUGCGCUCCCUGAUUUUUUGUUUGCAGUUUUGGCACAAACCUCUCGGGUGGGCGGGCUUUAUCAGCAGAGUGUCCCCAUUGGCUAAUCAGUUUUUGACUGACACAGCACAGUAGGCUCAGUGCCCUGGAAGUUACGUGUAGGUAGCUGGCGCGCUAACGGAGAAGAUAGAUAGAUAGAUAGAGAGAUAGAGAGAUAGAUAGAUACUUUAUUUAUCCCGAGGGAAAUUCAGGUAUCCAGUAGUAUACAAAAUACAAAACAUACAUUAAACAUACAUUAGACUAAAAUUAAAAUUACUAACCUUAAAAUAAAAUAGAAGAUAAAAUAUAAAGUAGUAUAUAUAUAUAUAUAUAUAUAUAUAAUAUCAAAUUAACAGUAGCUACAAUAAACAGUGCAAACAGUAGACAGUGCAAAUGGAUGUGCAUAAUACAGACAGAAAUUGUCCAUUGUCUAUUAUCUAAUUCAAUUCAAUUCAAUUUUAUUUGUAUAGCGCCAAUUCAUAACAGAAGUUAUCUCAGGACACUUUUCAAAUAGAGCAGGUCUAGACCACUCUUUAACAUUAAUUACAGAGACCCAACAGUACCACCAUGAGCAAGCACUUGGCGACAAGGGCAAGGAAAAACUGCCUGUUAAAAGGCAGAAACCUAGGACAGAUCCUCCGGCUCUAGGUGGGUGGUCGUCUGUCUCGACCAGUUGGGGUGAGAGAGAGAGAGAGAGAGAGGCAGAGAGAGAGAGAGAGCAAGAGACAGACAGACAGGUGCACAGCAACAACAGUAUUGGCAAUGGCAAUCUAGCAGGACCAUGGCAGGAGGCUCCACCAGGAUCGAUAAGAACCUGCGAGACGAGAAAGCACAAGAACUCCGGGGAAGAAGUGAAGUUAGUAACAUGCAUUAAUGGGACAUGAAUGAGUGCAGAAAGAGGGGGAGAGGAUGAGAGAAGCUCAGUGCAUCAUGGGAAAUCCCCCGAUAGUCUAGGCCUAUAGCAGCAUAACUAAGGGAUGGUUCAGGACUCACCUGAUCCAGCCCUAACUAUAAGCUUUAUCAAAGAGGAACGUCUUAAGCCUACUCUUGAAUGUGGUGAGGGUGUCUGCCUCCCGAACCACAACUGGAAGCUGGUUCCACAGGAGAGGAGCUUGGUAAAUGAAGGCUCUGGCUCCUGUUCUACUUUUAGAGACUAUAGGAACCACAAGUAGCCCAGCAUUCAGAGAACGUAGUGUUCUAGAGGGGUAAUAGGGUACUAUGAGAUCUUUAAGAUAUGAAGGGGCCUGACCAUGAAGGUCAGGAGGAGGAUUUUAAAUUCUAUUCUACAUUUUACAGGGAGCCAGUGCAGAGAAGCUAGUACAGGAGAGAUCUCCUAUCUAUUGUCCUCCCUGCCUUUACUGAGAGCUGUUGUACAAUCUGAUGGCCAGGGGGACGAAAGAGUUUUUGAAUCUAUUGGUGGAGCUGGACUGGGACAGAAGAAGAAGAAGGUGACCUGAUGAAGCUCAGGUGUUCCUGGACCCAUCAGAGGACAGAGACAGCUGCAGCAUCAGGACAGUCUGGGUAUCCAAAGGAAGACUGAUGAAGAUGAACACUGACUGCAGAGCUCCAUUACCAGCUCACACUUCAAUAUACUAGAAACCAUAAACCUUGAUGGAGAACACGAUCUGCACAGUUUACAUAAAAGUUAUAGCUUUGUUACUUACAACUUGUGUAACUGGAAUAUGAAUGAAAUAUAAAUAAAGUGUUUUACUUUUAAGAA